UUUGUUAUAGUUAAUCGAGCAAACAAAGUCUACGAGCUCAAGUCCUAGUUCAGAGCUGCCAAUAGUCGUUAAAGUGCAAAGGAAUAUUACCCAGGAAUCGCUUUCUGAAAAAUGUACUGCUGGCAAAGAAGUAUAAUUAAGUAUAUAAAAAAAUGUAUAUUGACAAACAAGUUAUAUAGAAUGCCAAUAGUACUAACUUAAAUUUCUCAUAAAAAAAGAUAAAUGUUAUGCAAUUUAAACCUCAGGACCGAAUAUGACGGGGUCAUUGAGUUUGAAAUUUCUGGCAUAUAAUAUCUAAUUAUGGAUUCAAAACAUAUACUGUGCAUUUCCGGAUCCAUGGACAUGAUAGUUAAACCAUAAGUUCAAUCCUCAACACUAUUAUGUACUCUAGGUCUUAAUUCAAUAGAUGGAGCUACAUUCACAACAUAUACGUAGCUAGUUAUUUUAAUACAAUUACCAAAAAUAAGGGCGGGUUAAGGUUUUCAAAAAGGUUUAUUCUAUUAUAAAUUGAUUUCUUGUGAACUUGUCUUCAUGCAAGGUGGUCCUAUGUUGCUCUAAAGGACAAGAUAAGGGACUGAGAUUGAAAUCCAAAACAAAAAUUUAAAUACAGAAGACAAGAUUUUACAAUUACGGAAAAACAAAACUAACAAAUCAUAAAAUACAAGAAAAACAACAUUUUCCGAACAAGGAAAAUACAAAUUCUUAAAUCAAAAUGCCUAAAAUAUUUUUAAAAAUAAUGGACAAGAACCUUUAAGUUAUUCAAUCAGUUACAGUGGCAAAACACAACACAACAUCAAACUAAGGCUAUGUUUGGUCCUGGAUUUGUAGAGGGCUUUAUCAAUGGAAAAGAAAAUUAUAGGAAAACGAAUUAAGAAAUUUAAAUUGGAAUUCAUAUCGGCCUUUCUUCACUAGUAAAUCCCUCACAAUCAUUGAUUGAUAAAAGAAUAAAAAUUACCAAAAAUAAAAAGAAAGCAUCAUUGAAGUAAUGAAUAUAAGAAAAAGAAGAAAGAAAUCAGAUAAAGAAAAACCAUACAAAACAAAUCAAUACCCCCAAUAAAACAAAAUUAAAGCAUAAUCAAAAGUAAAGCUACCAAAAAUAAAGAAGAACAAUAACGUAGGUACUAUAAAAAAAAGAAAGAAAAAAAAAGAGAAACAAAAAAGAACAAAUCCUUAAAAAAAACAAUUCACAAACAAAAUCAAAACCAAUACACAAUUAGCGAUCUCACCAAUUACAUAAAUUCAUACCAUAAUCGACGACCCCAAACCCAAGCUUCGUGGCCCAUUCUGAGACCCGUGCCUCUGAUUCGUUACAUUGCUAGCGCCGGCCCGCUCUUGGCCAUAUGUUGAGGCACCGUCGUGGAAUCUUCCCAUGAUUUUCCGACGACGAAGACGCUUGUCGCUUCGCCAAAGAAGACGAAACAGAGGAUCUCGAUUCUGGGUCGACACAUUUUCUCAGUCCUAACCCAAAUCAAAAAUUUUUUUAUUUUACCCGGUUAAACAAGUGAUCGGUUUGGCCUUGUUCUUGCUCGAAAAUUGAGCAAGAAAGCACGGAAAAUUGAUGUAUUGAUCGCAAGAGUGACGCGGGAAGAGAAAGAGACUGAUUUUAUUGUCGAAGAUUAGGGUUUUUGAAUUAGGGCUUUUUCUGGGUUUCUUGAAGUGAAUCGAGAGCGAGAGAGAGUAGUGAAGUCAAGCAGGAGCAGAAGGCGGUAAUGACAUGGUAGUUUGAGAGAGAGAGAGAGAGAGAGAGAGAGAGAGAGAGAGAGAGAGAGAGAGAGAGAGAGAGAGAGAGAGAGAGAGAGAGAGGCGUUGGUAUUUAAACAUUUAUUUAUGCUUUUGAGGCGGGCAAAGGGCGUGAUUUGAAUUGAGAAAUGAUCGUGACCGUUGGAUUGACUAGGUAAUCGUUAGGAGCGGAUACAGAGUGGGCCCCACUGACUUCUUCUUUUUUGAAUUUGAGUUCAAAAUUCUAACGGUGAAUGACCAUCCGAUUAACGGCUGCCACGGUGUGCGUUUGUCCGUGCUUUGAAGAAACUAGAGUGGUCAUCGUUUUACAUGAGCCACAACCUGUUAUUGUAGCCCUUACCUUGAAUUCGAAUUUGAACGUUAUGUAGAUUUUGUCUGUAGUGUGUGACAUGAAACUAAUACCCACAUUAUCCUCGCGCCCAACCACCAAUUUUGUAAUUGGAAAAUGGAAAUGAUAACCAAAAAAAAUCAUCUUUUUAGGAGAUGUUAUAUUUUAAGGAUAUUAUAAUAUUGUGUUAUCCUUUAAAACGUCGUGUAAAUGGUACGUAGGGUGGAAAGUAUCUAUGAAAUGUGCAAAUUUGCUCAAAAUCCAAAACGUGGAUCUCGUGUAUGGAUAUUGAUUCCUAACUUUAAUAUUAGGAGACUUUGGUAAUGCUUAAAAAGCUAAGUUUUUUUUAAAUUUAGUAUCAAAAAGGUCAAGAGUUUUGGCAUUUUUUGCUUUGUGACUUUACUUUAGAUAAAAUUAAAAAAAAAUAAAAAACCAAACAAAAAAUCCAACUCUAAUUUUUUGUAUGCUUAAAAGUCAAUUUUUUUUAAAUUUACUAACAAAAAGGUCAAGAAUUUUUGACAUUUUUUGCUUUGUGACUUUACUUUACUUUAUAAGGCUAAAAUUUAAAAACAAAAAAACAAGUAUAAUUGAUUUUUUUUACUUAUUUUAAGUAAAAAAAUAAAAAAAAAUAAAAAAAUGCUGUCAAACGAAGCCUCAGUCACAAUAUUGUUAUUGCUCAUGACUUCCAUCAUAAGAGCAAUCGCUAUCAAGUUAUUUUGUUUGGGGAAAUCGGUUAGCUAAUUGUUGAAAACAGCCCUCCAAGCAUCGCCGCUCCCUUGCCAAUUUGGUUUUGAGCUAUAAUUCUUGGCCAUUCUUGGCGAAGUACUGUAGCUGCUUGUUUCAACAAGUUUAUUCGUCGGAAGAACCAUGGUGACGUGAUUUCCGAUGAAACUCACUCUUCGAAUCCCCAGCUUCACCCAAAUUAUUCGAUACGGGCCAAACGAACCAUGGUGUGCCAGUGGAUGGCCUGAGUGUGGGUGAAAGGAUUGGAUGGACCUCACACCCAGUCAAUCCAAAUGCAAUACCUCAUAAGUAUGCAUUGGAGUGAACGAUGAUUAACCCAUAGCAUUACCUAUUUUUCAAACAGGCACAACCUUUUUCUCCACGCAGCUCUGGUACUAUCCAGGAAGAUACCGAGUUCUCUUCGAGGCAGAAACGUAAGCCACAAUAUAAGACUAAAUAGAUAUUUCUCCAUUUGAUGCAAAAUUUAGAUAUUCCAUAGGAGGCGGCUGUUUGUUCAGCCAACAACCUCUACAUGACAACUUAGAUAAAUGCAAGGAUCUCAACCUCAAUGGUGCUUCUUUUCUUCUCAAGGUAUAAGUCGCACUAUUUCAUUACACAUAAAAAAUAUAUAACUACACUGCAACGGGGAAAAUAUCCCCUAACCGGUUUCUAAUACAUGGAUCUCAUCACCAUGCUGGCUUUAAAAUUACAUUAGCUCUUCUGUUAGUGAUAAUUCAUUUUUUCACUUCCACUUCCUUUAUUUUAAAUUUCUAACAAUAUCAUUGAUUUUCAUCAAAACCCAUCGAUGGUCCGGAACUCCUAACAAAAAAUUAAUUAUUGAUGAUUGAGAAUGUGUUGGGAAAAAUCUAGCUCCACCAUUUAUGCGAUUGCAUUACCAGCCUCAGGACAAUGUUCCACUACACAGGCACUUGUGCUGGACAAUUAAUCAUGCAGGUGGGGAAUAAUUUCUUGCAAUUUUAUUAUUUCUUUUAAUUAAGUAAAUAUUUGAUCCAAGAUUAUUAAUGAGUUAAUUCGUGGUACAAUUUUUAGCGUUUCUUGGAUCUUAAGAUGAGAAAAUGGAUGAGGAACCUAAUGACCAGGUCCAUUGCCAUCACACCUAGUCUCAUUGUCUCAAUCAUCGGUGAUCGUGGCUGUUGACCGGCUAAUCCUCAUUGCAUCGGUUAGUUACUCGUCGAAUACUAAAUAAAAUUUAUAUUUAUAUUUAUUGUAAUUUAUAAUUGAUCAUUUUUUUUGUUAAAUUGGUUUGGUAGAUGAUACUAUCAUUGAAAUUCUAUUUGCUCUCAUCCCACUCCGAAAUGCAGUAGUAGUACACAAGAGGGGGCCACACAAGAAUUCAAUAUAUGUGAGUUGCAAUCUCAUUAUUAUUUUACCUUUGCAUUUAAUUUUUUCUUCUUCAUCUAGCUUCUAAUCUACACUAGAUUUUGAUUUUGCCUUCAGUAAGAAAGUGUGUGAUUUUUCACACAUUAUUUGUUCAAUGCAUUUCCUUUUUCGUCUUAAUUAAUAGGUAAAAUUACUCAAAUACUUUCGUAUUUAUAUUUUUUAAAUUAUUUCUGGCUCAAAUAUUUUAACUACAUAGAAGAAUAUUUAGAUAAAUUCACAUAAUAAUAAUAAGAAAAAAAAAGAGUACAGUUAGAGAAAAUGGGAUGUAAAAACCAUCUUCCUUAAAAUUUAAUUUCAUUUACCACUUAAAAAUGUAGAUUAUCAUCGUGUCGUGGAUUUUGGGAUUGGGAAUUAUCGGCAUAAACAUCUAUUACCUAAGCACUGGCCUCAUCGGUUAGAUAAUUCAUAUCAAUUUAUCUAAAGUUGCAAUUGUUUCCAUCGCAAUAAUAGUGUUCCCCACUCAUGGCUACUAUAUUACAUCAUCGCGGUGAUAUACUUGCUGUUUUGAAAAGACACCGUUGUGACAUUCAGCGAGCCCCUGAAGCACUUCCCCGAAAGCUCAAACCAGGAUGGAGACGGGCACGCUAGAUCCGAGGAAGGCCGUGGUACGUACAGGAGGACCUGGCCGAAGUCCCAUUGCCCCAGAAGGGGUAGUUAUGGAAAGUCCAUUGUUGUAAUUGUAACUUGUUUGCAGCAAACAAGUCUUCCGUUUAUGCAUCAUCUCAAAUUCUCAAUUGAUUCUAACGAAAAAGCAAAACUAGUCUAUACAGUACCUCCAACAAAAGUUUCAAAGAUAUUCAUUUGUGAAUUAGUUGCUCUGGGAUCACUAGGUGGAUGCAAUUUUUGGUUGGAAUAAAUUGCAUUACAAGUUAGGUUAUUUUUUUAGUAAUUUUUUUUAGUUAAAAUUUUGCAAAUUUAGAAUUCAUCUUUGUAGAAGAAUAUUAACAAGAUUUAAAUGCAAAUUUACAAAAAAACACUAAAAUUCAAAUUAAUCCAAAUGGAUUUUCAACAAUAAUCCAUUUUUUUUUUGUAGUUUCCAAUACUUCGUGAAAGAAGUCUUGCUUCCAAUCUUAAUCUCAUUAAAAUUUGAUCAAAUAUGAAUAAAAAAUGACAAAUUUCACUUGAUAAAAUUAUUUUUUUAUGAUUUAUUUGUGAAAAAUUAUAGGGUAAACUACAAUUUGCCCCCUCAAAGUAUUGAGUGAUUCUCACUUUGCCCUUUACUAAUAAUGUUUCCACUUGAACCCGUACUUAUUUAACCGUUGCAAUCAACCCCAACAUCCAACACCCAUCUACAAAGUAGACGAAAAUUGCACGCUACGUGGUGAUCCAACUCGACCUGAUUCAAAGGCUUGUGACUCCAAUGCCUCAAUUUUGAUGAUAACAAAAUAAUAUUUUAGUGUGCAGAUGAUUGUUUUACUUAAUUAUCAUAAAUCAUCCAAAUUGAUGAGAAGAAUUAAUGAAGUUUGGCAAAGAUGAACUUUUGGGGGCCACAAGAACAAGACCCGAAAAGAAAGAAGUUACACAUGAUCAAGAGGUGUGUCGGCACGGGCACAUGAAGACAACAAGUAGACUUAAAUCUGGAAUAAGUGUCAACACAUCGGAUUUGAGAAGAGUCGACACAGGGGGACAGUAGCAAUCUAAACUUGAAAGGUUUCACAGACUUAGAAGUGUCAACACACGAAUAUAGUGUACAAAGAAUUAAUUCUGGAGGGAAGGUGUAGACACAUGGACUUAAAGUAUCGACACAUAAAGACAGUAGGAAAACAUAAAAAUGAAGGCGACAUUAGGAUGAAGAGUCGAAACGUGAAGUCAGUAAACAAUCUUGAAUUAAAGUGUCGACCACUUGGUCUCUAGGACGUCGAACACAUGAAGAAGUAGCAAAUCUGAAAUUGAAGUUUGAUACAUGGAACAGAGAACCACGUUUGAAAAAACUAAUGAUCAAGAAGUUGAUACAUGAUUUUUAAGGUCGACACAUAUAGACAAUAGUAUUAAACACUAAAGAGACAAAGAUCUAUAUUCCUUUUGUCUUAAAGAGCUGAGUCAUCCAUCAUAAUUUACUCUGAAGAGAGGAAUUGUUUUCAACUUGUGUAACCUUCAUACACUUGUAAAUUGUAAGUUUGAGUGUAGUUUGUUGAACAAAACAAAAUUGGUGAGAGUUUGAGUUGUGUUCUCUUAUGUAAACAAAAUACUUGUAAGUUUAAGUGGAGUUUGAACAACAAAUCACUUGUGUAAAAAGUGAAUUGAGAUUGGUUAAUCAGCCCACACUUGUAAUUAUUGAUUGCAAUAGUGAAAAUAAGACGUUGCAGAGGUAUUAGGAGGUGUAGAUCAUACUUGUUGUUGAAUCUCGUAAAUUUGGUGUGUUUAUUUUCUCAUAAUUGACUUUGUUAACUGUUAUAUAUUUAUUGCCAUGCAUAUAAAUUGAGCCACCAUUUAAAAAUUGUUUGUUUUUUUUUUGAUAAGAUUAAUUUUUAAUUAAUCAUAAUGUAAUUAAUUUUAAAAAACUAAUUCAUUUCCCCCUAUUAGGUGCUUUUUUGGCCAACAAAAGGCAACUUACGUUAACGUUAUAGAAAAAUAUUCAAAUUCAAUUUUUUUUUAUCUCACAAUCAACAUAAGAGAGAGGAAGAGAGAAAGAUUUAGAGAUUGAAUAAGAUAAACGACAAAUUUGAAAUUAUAUUUUCUAUGCGUUAACCAUGGUUUUGCCCUUGAAUUCGUGGCGGGUCAACAGGUGGUAGCCUUGAUGGCAAUUUUCAUCUCUAUGUAGACGAAACUUUAGAUGUCGGGUUUAAUUGCAAUGCUUUUUAAUAUAAUUGAGGGCACAAAGUGGAAAAUUAUUAGUCGUAGUUAGGAGGACAAAGUGGAAAAUUACUCAAUACUUUGCGGGGGAAAAUUGCAGUUUACCAAAAUUAUAUUAUUCCUUUGAUAAAUUUAAAGAAAUGAUUGCAGCUCUCUAUAAUCAUUUUUUUUUUUCAAAGAAGAUACCCAAUUAACCCCAAUAUGAUUGCCAUACCAAAUGGAGAAUCAGUUCAAUGACCCCGGACCCUAUCCCAGUCCAAGCUCCUCUCUUCUCAUCUCUACCACGCAAGAGAAGUCGAAAAAUCCCCAAUCCCACCAACCAAUUUAUAUGCAACACCCUGAGAAAAAGAAAAACACCAAUUCAUGAAGAGACCAAGACCCAUCUCACCACCAAUACCCUUCGCCACCGCCACCUCCACCGCCACCGCCCACCGCAACCGCCCACCCACCAUCAACCCUCCACCCCACAAACCCUCCUCAAAAAACCCUCAAACCCCACUCAAAAAUCCCAAAAA
rnacentral:lncRNA from 1 species